GUAGUCUGGUUGCCUACAUCUGCUAGAGGUGUGGUCCUGUCAGUGUAGUUUUGAAUUUUUGCUAUAAAUACCCCUUGCUGUGAACUUCCGUUCAACACAUUUCCCCUCUCCUUCUGUUUGAAAUCCCCUUUAUUUCCACUAAUUUCAUUGAUUUGUUUGUUCUGUUUGAAUUCUCAUAUUCUCUUAUUUCUCCUUUAUAUGCAGAUUCCAUUCAAAGCUUAUGCCCUGGAAGAGAAGCAUGAAAGAUCAGAGCAAGGUUGAUCAGAAAGGGAGCUCCAUAGUUGCAAAUUGGUGUAUUUGGCUGUGUAGGAAAUGAUCAUUGCUUCUGUAUCUAGGUGAUUUUGUGUAGAAAAACCCUUUGUAUCUUGCUGUUGUCAUAGGAGAUGCUAAGUUAUUGUGGCAUAACAAGCCUUGGUCAAUGAAUAUGUUCCUAGACGUUGUGGUCAUGAAAUGCACAGGUUAUUUUAUUGGCUUUGGUUACCCUUGGUGUUGGCUUAUGUUAUUGAAUUCUUGGGUCCUAGCUUAUGCUGUCAAGAAAGCUUUUUGGCCAAAUCAGAAUGGAAAUGACAGAUUUUUUGUAAAGCCAAUUUGUUUGUGAUCAUGUGUUUUUGGGAUUCUAUUCUAUCUAAUACCCACUAGAGAAGAUAUGUUAUAGGCUCAGCAGGAAUGAGAAAAAUCUAAGGCUAAACAAGGAGGAAAUUAAAGUGGAACCACUGCUAAUCUAUGUGUUUAUAUAAGUCUAAGGUGAGUUUAUUUUGUAAGAUUGUUUUUUAAUCUCAUUUUUCAGCUGUUCAAAAGAUAGGACCUUUCCUAAAGGUGAGGUUGUUCUGCUGCUUCAUUUGUUUUAUGAUGUUUUUCAUGUGACUGGUUUCACUUUAAAUCAAAGAAAGGAAAUACACUUGAAGCUGAAUUUAUUUUCCCCUGCAAAAUUCUCAUCGUUUUCUUCUUGAUUAAACUCUAAAAUCCCAUUUCACUUAGAGAAAUUUUGAUUUUUCAUUCUUGAUUUUUCAAACAAUGCAAGAACAGUAUUAUUGACUCUGUUGUGAUGGGAAGUUAACUUUUAUACUUCAGAAGUACAAGGAGGGGAAGAUGGCACAAGUUGUCCCGGCAUCUCCACUCUGUUUUCCUAUUGGUAUGUUUGUCUAUUUCUUAGUCAUACUAACAAGAGUUAGUUGGUGUUAGUGUGUAAGACAAACUGCUUUUUAUGUUUUGUAGUUGAAAGUGUUGUUAUUUCCCUGUUGCAUUAUUUUUUCCAAAUGUGUGUAAGAUGAGUAAUUGACUGAUUAGGAGAAGUUACACCUCAUGUCAUGUACCAUUUUAUUCCAUGUCUAUAUAAGAUCAUUACUUUAGAGAACGUGAAUACACUUGCUAAACAUUUUGUUUGCCCACUAUGGUUACUAAUAUUUUGAGGUUUAACUUUUAUUGGUUGAAAAUAUUAAAAAAAGGGAGGGAAGAAGGGUAGGUAGGAAAAAAUUAUGUAAAGACUGAUUUUAGGUUAGUCAUUCCUAAGGGUUGACUUCUCUCACUUGAAGAAAGUGUUAUUUGCUGGUCUUUGCUGCUUUUCACAUUGAAAUUAGAAUGAGUAAAGUUUUAAUUGGUGUUUACCAAUUUAUUAAUUUUCAUCCACUUGAUUUUAAAUUAUAUUUAGUUCUUUUACUUCACCUUCUAUGUACUUGAUCAUUUUAUUUUUCUUAAUGGGCAAUUAUGAUUUAUGAUUUAUUUGUUUACUUCAAGUUCUGAAUUGUUCAAAUUGAAUAUAUUUGGAUCUUAGCUUUUAUUCCUUAUAGCUGUAUAUGACUCUAAAAUCUAUUUCUAAUGGAUAUCUCAACUUAACAACUCCACUAUUUGGAGAAGCGGUGACUUCUCCUUGGUUGCUGCUCGGUACACAGGGCAUCUCCUUAACAACCUAUAGUAUUAAUCAAACUCCCCAAAAGUCAAUCUCAUCUAGCUAACUGCUUUCCUUUAUGCUUGACUGUGUUUUUUUGGGUUCCAAAGUUACCAGGUUAUACAGGUUGAGCUAACAGAUGACAGGAGAUACCUCAAAAAGGUUGGAAGAGGAAAUAUGCUAAAGUUUGCAAAGUAGAGCUUUUGGUGGUGACUAAACGUCGAGGUGUCGAUCAUGAAUUCAGGAACCGGAAGAAUUGAUUUUUAGAAUUAUACAUCUGUUCAAUAUAUUCAUAAGGAUGGAGGGAUUAUUGUUCACAAGAUUUGGUAAAUGUAACAGGGAUGUGGGAAGUGUCCUUAUAUUCAUGAUCCCUAAAAUAUUUCGGUCAUUCUUGAGUCGACACCGAAUACUUCUUAUUUUUUUUGCAAGCUUAUGCUCAAGCGAAAUUUGCCCAUAUAGACAUGUCUAUUUGAAGCAAUGUGAAUCUGUGUUCAGCGAACCAAAUUAAUGAAAGAUUCACCACCCCAUAACCCAAGUAUUGGCUGAACAAGUUUGGAAGAAAGUGUGGCUAGAUGAAAAAGUUUACUCUAAUGGAAAAGAAAUUCUGCAAAGUUGAGAAUGUAACAACUAACAAGUUGGUAGAGGGUUGCAUCCUCAAUGGACUUCUAUUAGUUGGGCCAAAAAUAGCUAGUUUCAUUAUAUUGCUCUUUUAUGAAUAUUAGUUUAAUAGUUCUAGUAUUUUAUUAUACCUUAUGAUCUAGAAUAUUCUAUUUCCUAGGAUGGUGCCACAUGUAAGGUCACCUUUCAUUCCUUAAGAGGAUAGGUAGUAUAAGUUGUAUUGCUUCCAUGGUGAAAUGUUGACGAGAAAUUUGGCAAAAGCCUUCA